UACGGAGGGUGCGAGCGUUGUCCGGAAUCCUUGGGCGUAAAGGGCGCGUAGGUGGCCCGGUCAGUCAGUGGUGAAAGCGCGGGGCUCAACUCCGCGUCGGCCAUUGAUACUGCUGGGCUGGAGCACUGUAGAGGCAGGCGGAAUUCCGGGUGUAGCGGUGGAAUGCGUAGAGAUCCGGAAGAACACCGGUGGCGAAGGCGGCCUGCUGGGCAGUUGCUGACACUGAGGCGCGACAGCGUGGGGAGCAAACAGG
rnacentral:rRNA from 1 species